GGUCCUUCACCGAGCUGCGUCCCUGUCUCAAAGAACUAUCUGUCAUUAUCUGGUCCAAGCAGGAGCCUCGUUCAUCAAGACAGACCUACAGGAUGAUGAGAUCAACCAACAGAGUCUGGCUGAGAAACUCAAGGAGCAGAAGAUGGACACAAAUCCGUUUGUACAUCUCCACAAAACUCUGGAGGCACCACAAGCAGCUCAGCCGCCUCAGACACCAGAUCCAAGACCAGCAGAGGAUGAUGGACGAGCUCAUUCAUUUACAAUCAUAAACUACUUCAAUUAGAAGUGCCAGAUUUUAUCAAGCAGACAUCAACAUUAACUCUGGCCACAUUAUACAUUUUAUUUUCCUCCUUUUUGUUUGAACCAGGGCCUGUUACUGGAGCAGACUCAUGACAGACAGCUGGAGAAAGAUGCAACACUACAGAAGCUCAUACUGCUGAAUGAUCAGAGGAUCUGAAGGGCCUCCAGGACACGGUUCCCAGACCGAGACCUUCAAAAUGUGGACUCUGAUUGGCCUGUUUUUGUUAACGAUGCUGAGGUUACCAAAGCAACAGAUCACAAAAGUUCAA